UACGUAGGGGGCAAGCGUUGUCCGGAUUUAUUGGGCGUAAAGAGCGUGUAGGCGGCCUGAAAGGUCAGCUGUGAAAACUCGAGGCUCAACCUCGAGACGUCGGUUGAAACCAUCUGGCUAGAGUCCGGAAGAGGAGUGUGGAAUUCCCGGUGUAGCGGUGAAAUGCGCAGAUAUCGGGAAGAACACCCGUGGCGAAGGCGGCACUCUGGGACGGUACUGACGCGUGAGACGCGAAAGCGUGGGGAGCAAACAGG
rnacentral:rRNA from 1 species